GUGCCAGCCGCCGCGGUAAUACAGAGGGUGCAAGCGUUGCUCGGAAUUACUGGGCGUAAAGCGUGUGUAGGCGGUCCAGCAAGUGGGGUGUGAAAUCCCUAGGCUCAACCUAGGAACUGCGCCCCAAACUGCAGGACUUGAGUGUCGGAGAGGAUAGUGGAAUUCCCAGUGUAGAGGUGAAAUUCGUAGAUAUUGGGAGGAACACCAGUGGCGAAGGCGGCUAUCUGGACGAACACUGACGCUGAGACACGAAAGCGUGGGGAGCAAACAGGAUUAGAUACCCGCGUAGUCC
rnacentral:rRNA from 1 species